rnacentral:lncRNA from 1 species
GAUCCACCUACCUCUACCUCCUGAGGCCUGGAAUCAAAGCAGUCACUGUGCUGAAGAAAAUAUACAUGUAGGCAGGGACUGGCACACAGCUGCUGAGGGCUAUGUCCUAGUGUGAGCAGAGCGCCAUGGAGACCAACCGAAGGAAGAACCAGCCUUUCUGGGGCUGUGCUCCCACUGAAUGUCCCAGGGAUGAGUGCUUAGCAGCGGGCCACCAGGCCCAGAGAAUAGUCAUAAACUUUGAGUUGGAGUGUGAUCUGAGCUGUGAUCCAGAGAGGGAAGGUGGGCUAGAAGAGGCCAUUUGGAGCUGUUGGAGAGACGAGUGGAGAGGCGAUGAUCACCAGGUGGGAUCCGCCCUGCGAUAGUGCAGUACUAGUAAAAGUAGAGCAUGGCGUCAUUGCAGUGUGGAUAGAUGGGAUUGGUGACCAGCUAAGGUAUGGAAGGGGAUGAAGAGGAGGAGGAGGAAGAAGAAGAGAAGGGGGAGGAGG